UAGCUUUGUCCUAAGUCAAACUUCUUAAAGUUUGACCAAGUUUAUAGAAAAAUCUGCCAACAUCUAUGACUCUAAAUAUUAAAUCCAUCAUGAUGUACAUUUUCAUAGUAUACUUAUUUGAUAUUCUACAUGUUGAUACAUUUUUCUAUAAACUUGGUCAAACUUUAAGAAGUUUGACUUAGGGCAAAGCCAG
rnacentral:pre_miRNA from 1 species